CUUGAACACUUGCUAGGUGAUUUCAACUUGGGAUCUCUUGUGAGGUUGCCAUUAUGAUGUCAGCUGGGGCUACAGUCAUUUGAAGACUUGGCUGGCAAGAAGAUUCUCUUUCAAGGUGACUCACUCACAUGGCUAGAAAGUUGAGGUCAGUUGUUGGUGGAAGCCUCAGUCUCUCCCUACAAAGGCCUACUCCAUAGGAUGUAUGUCUUCAACAGUGGCAACUGGCUUCACCCAGACUGUUUCUACAAAAGCAUGUCAUAAAAGGGAAGCUGCUUUAAGGGCCAAGGAGAAGACUUAGAACACACAAGAUGUCAACUUCAAGACACAAUGCCAGUGAUUCAAGAGAUCUGAACUUACCAGCCUGCUCAUUACAUUCAAUGGACCAAAUCCCUUCUCAAUUUUCAACGGGAUUAGCUGGUCAAUAAUUUAUGACAUUUUCAAGACAACCACAUAUGGAUAUGGCAUGGAAUAUUCCUUAUUCCUUUGGCCCAGACUCCUUUGUUGAGCCUGGUGUCAAUGUGCACAUCUGGUGUGCCCACAUUCUUCACAGCAAAUUUCUGGAUUUGAGUGUCCAAGGGGCACACUUCUUGAAUCCCACUCCAUGGAUGUGCUUAUGAAUGCUGAUGAAUGAUGCUUAUGAACCAACUACCUCGUUGAUGGCAGAACGGCCCUUCUUCUCGCCACCCUUCUUUGUGGGAGCCAUUCUACUAGGCCAGGUUGGAAAGGAAAAGCGGGAGAUAUUGUGGGAGAGGGAAAGCAGCAUGACACCAAGAAGAUGGUGAUUUUUGCCACUACCUGUUAGACCAGAAAAAAAUAGAUUCAUGGAUUCAUUCUUGGAUUAUUAGCUCAUGGCUUGAAAAGUUCCUGUCUUACAGUUAUAAAUACCAAAACCACA